UUCACUACCUUAAACUUCACAACAAGCCUAUGAGUCUCUGGUGUCCAGCAGGAAAGAAUCCAGGGCUCCAAAUCUCUCCAGGGCCAUGUGAUACCCUGGCCUACGGGAAGAUGCCCUGGUCACGUUUCCUAGGCUCCUCCAGGUAGCCGAGCCUCAGCCACCAGGGCCACAGACUUCCCUGCUGCCUUGAGGGACCUACAGGACUAGCAGGAGCUGCUCUUCCUCGUACGACUCCUACCCACCCAGGGAUAUCACUUGACCUCUCUGAGCCUGCUUCCUCCUGGAGACAACAGUGUAUACUUAGGGCUAUUGCGGGGAAUGACAAGGAAAAUGGAUGAAAAUGUGCUGGAGAAAUUCUGAGGCAUCAGACAGAUGAAAGGUGUGCCGACUGCCCCAAGCUGACCCAGUGCGGAUCCUAACUGGCCCCACCAGCAUCUUCCAUGCUCACCCAGCUGGCCCAUGUCUUGAAGAUGCCCUGGGCUCCCAGCUCUGCCACCCCAGCUUUCUGAGUCUCCGUGGAUUGGGAUCACUGGGGACCCAGCAGGAAGAAGUUGGAGAAGAUAGGAAGGCAAGACGGGACUGGAAUGAUUCUAGGAUGACCACCCCACUGGCCCCUGCAGCAGAAGGAGCCUCAGCCUGGGCCCUGUCUCUGCCAACGCCCCCUCCCGGCAGAAUGGGCAGCCUAUCUGGGUAAAGACCUGCCCAGACCCCACAGCCAAGGGCAGCCCCUCAGAGAUUCAGGCCAGGAGCGGCCUUUGUUCCCCACACCUGGAGCUCAGAGCUUGCUUAGCCUGCGGUGGAAGCUCUGGUUUAAUUAAGGAUCUUAGGAGAGAAUUCUCUCUUGUUAUUUUCUGAAUAAAUUAAGGAAGUAACUUUGA